AACCAUGACUGCCCCGCAGAGCCGUUGCUAGACUUUGGGUUCCUUGAGGAUAUUCAGUUUUUGUAUGUUUGAAUAUCCUGUCACCAUGUUCAGCAUAAAAUACCAUUCUUAAUGAUUAUCUUUGGCAAGACAGUUGUAAAAGGAUUGCUGUUGUAUUACAAUCAUGGUGCAAAAAUACCAGUCAGCAGUGAGGGUGUACGAAUACCCCUUCGAAUUAUUAUGGCUGCCUAUGAAAGGAGGUUCCCUACGUGUGCCUUUGAUUCUGAUGUUUGUGGGCAGUGACACUGUGAAUGAAUUCAAGAGUGAAGAUGGGGCUAUUCAUGUCAUUGAAAGGCACUGCAAGCUGGAUGUAGGUGCACCAAGACUGCUGAAGAACAUUGCAGAAUUUGAUUACGUUUAUUUUGUCCAGAAGAACUCACUGAAUUCUUGGGAGUGUACUUUGCAUAUUGAGGCUCUUAAUGAAACAUUUUCCAGUCGCUACACCGUUCACCCUGAAAAUGAAGAUUGGACCUGUUUUGAAUAGUCUUCGAGUUUAGAUAUUAAAUCUUUCUUUGAUUUUGAAAGUACCAUGGAAAAAAAUUGCAAUGAAACAAUAUACCAGCAACAUUUAAAAAGGAAAGGAAAUCAUUGAAUACUACCUUUGCCAUUUAGAAGAAGAAGGCAUAACCUUUGUGCCCCGUUGGACUCCACCUUCCAUCAUGCCCUCUUCAGAGACAUCUUCGUCAUCCUGCAAGAAACAAACAGCGUCCAUGGCCGUCAUCAUCCCAGAUGCUGCCCUCAAGAAGGGGCUGAGUGGUGAUGCCCUCAGCAGCCCCAGCGCACCUGAGCCCGUGGUGGGCACCCCUGAUGACAAACGAUGUAGAUGCCGACUACAUCAAGAGAUACCUGGGCAAUUUGACUCCGCUGCAGGAGAGCUCUCUCAUUAGACUUCACUGGUGGCUCCAGAAGACCCAUAAGGGCAAAAUUCCAAAAGAUGAACAUAUUCUUCAGUUCCUACGUGCACGGGAUUUUAAUAUUGACAAAGCCAGAGAGAUCAUUUGUCAAUCUUUGACAUGGAGGAAGCAGCACCUGGUAGACUACGUUCUUGCUACCUAGACCUCUCCACUAGUUCCUUCAGGAUUACUACACAGGAGGCUGGCGUCAUUACAACAAAGGUGGGCGGCCCCUCUGUGUGCUCAGGCUGGGGCAGAUGGACACCAACGGCUUGAUGAGAGUGUUUGGGGAGGAAGCCCUGCUGAGAUACAUCCUCUCCAUAAAUGAAGAAGGGCUAAGGCGAUGUGAAGAGAAUACAGAAGUCUUUAUUUGGCAUAUCAGCUCAUGGACCUGCCUGGUGGACUUGGAAGGGCUGAACAUGCGCCAGUUGUGGAGACCUGAUGUCAAAGCGCUGUGGCGGAUCAUCGAGGUGGUGAAGGCCAAUUACCCUGAGAGACUGGGCCGACUUCUCAUCCUGUGGGCACCCAGGGUAUUUCCUGUGCUCUGGACACUAGUUAGUCCAUUUAUUGAUGACAAUGCCAGAAGGAAAUUCCUCAUUUAUGCAGGAAAUGACUACCAGGGUCCUGGAGGCCUGCUGGAUUACAUUGACAGAUUAUUCCAGAUUUCCUGAGUGGAGUGUGCAUGUACAAAGUGCCAGAGGGUGGACUGGUCCCCAAAUCUCUGUACUGGACUGUGGAGGAGCUGGAGAAUGAAGACUUCAAGCUCUGAACUGAGACCGUCUACCAGUCUGCAAGCAUCUUCAGAGGAGCCCCGCACAAGAUUCUCAUUCAGAUUGUGAAUGCCUCUUCAGUCAUCACUUGGAAUUUUGACGUGUACAAAGGGGACAUUGCCUUUAACAUCUAUCACUCCAAGAGGUCGCCACAGCCACCCUAAAAGGACUCCCUGGGGGCCCCUGGGAACAAUGUGCAGCUCAUAGACACAGUCUGGCAGCGGGGCCACAACUGCGGCAUGGUGGAGUCGCCUCUGAUCUGUAAAGAAGGAGAAGGUGUGCAAGACUCCCAUGUGACCAGGUGGCCGGGCCUCUACAUCUUGCAGUGGAAAUUCCACAGCAUGCCUGCGGACGCCGCCAGCCUGUCUCAGGUGGAUGAUGUGCUCACGUCCCUGCAGAUCUCUUCGCACAACUGUAAAGUGAUGUACUCCACCAAGGUGAUAGGCUCCGAGGGUUUCAGAGGUUCCAUGACGAGCCUGGAGUCCAGCCACAGUGGCUUCUCCCAGUUGAGCGCGCCACCACCUCCUCCAGCCAGUCCCACUCCAGCUCCACGGUUUCCAGAUAGUGCCGCACCGCCUUCACUUAGUGUGCAGCGGGGAUGGCUGCCCCUCCGCGGACAGCCAGCUCCACCCUCCCGCCCAGUGGCCACAUUGUACAGACUCCUCUCACCUCUAGACAGCAAAUAGCUCUCCAGACGGUAAAUGUAGUCAUUUCAUCCCAAAACUGUCUUGGCAGGUGGUUUUAACUCUGAUCCUACUUUAACUAAAUAGCCAUAGAUUUUGUAUAUGUUGUACACAAAAUCAAACCAGAGCACAAGGGCUCUCUUGAAAUAAAAGUAGUUUCUAUACCAAUUAAAAGAUGGACGUGGUCUCAGAAAAAAGAAAAAAGA